rnacentral:misc_RNA from 1 species
GCGCCCUUCACCGUUAAUAUAGUUUCAAAACA